GUAGGAAGGCAAGCGUUAUCCGGAUUCACUGGGCGUAAAGCGCGUGCAGGCGGUUCGGUAAGUUGGGUAUGAAAUCUCCUGGCUUAACUGGGAGAGGUUAUCCAAUACUACCGGACUUGAGAGUGAUAGAGGAAGAUGGAAUUCCCGGUGUAGUGGUGAAAUGCGUAGAUAUCGGGAGGAACACCAGUGGCGAAAGCGAUCUUCUGGAUCAUUUCUGACGCUCAGACGCGAAAGCUAGGGUAGUAAACGGGAUUAGAGACCCCGGUAAUCCUAGCCGUAAACGAUGUAAACUUGGCGUCGGUGGCUUAAACACCAUCGGUGCCGCAGCUAACGCGAUAAGUUUACCGCCUGGGGACUACGAUCGCAAGAUUA
rnacentral:rRNA from 1 species